rnacentral:rRNA from 1 species
GAUGAACGCUGGCGGCGUGCCUAAUACAUGCAAGUCGAGCGAACAGAUAAGGAGCUUGCUCCUUUGACGUUAGCGGCGGACGGGUGGGUAACACGUGGGUAACCUACCUAUAAGACUGGGAUAACUUCGGGAAACCGGAGCUAAUACCGGAUAACAUUUGGAACCGCAUGGUUCUAAAGUGAAAGAUGGUUUUGCUAUCACUUAUAGAUGGACCCGCGCCGUAUUAGCUAGUUGGUAAGGUAACGGCUUACCAAGGCAACGAUACGUAGCCGACCUGAGAGGGUGAUCGGCCACACUGGAACUGAGACACGGUCCAGACUCCUACGGGAGGCAGCAGUAGGGAAUCUUCCGCAAUGGGCGAAAGCCUGACGGAGCAACGCCGCGUGAGUGAUGAAGGGUUUCGGCUCGUAAAACUCUGUUAUUAGGGAAGAACAAACGUGUAAGUAACUGUGCACGUCUUGACGGUACCUAAUCAGAAAGCCACGGCUAACUACGUG